rnacentral:lncRNA from 1 species
UUGUUUUGUAAACUUAGAUUUGUGAUCAAUGAAACUUUUGCCUUGCCGGCGCCGCACCUAUUCUGCGCCCAUUUUCUGUUUCAUGGUGCUAGAUUUCUGGUUUUCAUAUGGUAUCAUCGAUCUAUGAUCAAAGCUUCAUCUUCUCCGCUGCAUCCCUCACAAAGGUUAUCAAAAUGAUACCUUAAACCCCUAUUUCAUGCACCCCAAUGAAAACCCUGCAUUGGUUCUUAUCACUCCCUUGUUCAAUGGUGGUAAUUAUUAUUCUUGGUUACGUUCAAUGAUUGUAUGUUUACGCUCCAAGAAUAAGCUUCACUUCAUCAAUGACACAAAAGAUUGCGACUCUCUAGCAUGGGACGGGUUUAACACGAUGAUCAUGGC